rnacentral:rRNA from 1 species
UACGUAGGGUGCAAGCGUUAAUCGGAAUUACUGGGCGUAAAGCGCUCGCAGGUGGUCCGAUGCGUCGUGCGUGAAAGACCCCGGCUCAACUGGGGAGGGUCGUGCGAUACGGUCGGACUGGAGGCCAGUAGGGGGAUGUGGAAUUCCGCGUGUAGCAGUGAAAUGCGUAGAGAUGCGGAGGAACACCGAUGGCGAAGGCAGCCCCCUGGGUCGACACUGACGCUCAGGCACGAAAGCGUGGGGAGCAAACAGG